GACGAACGCUGGCGGCGUGCUUAACACAUGCAAGUCGAACGGAAAGGCCCUGCUUUUGUGGGGUGCUCGAGUGGCGAACGGGUGAGUAACACGUGAGUAACCUGCCCUUGACUUUGGGGUAACUUCAGGAAACUGGGGCUAAUACCGGAUAGGAGCUCCUGCCGCAUGGUGGGGGUUGGAAAGUUUCGGCGGUUGGGGAUGGACUCGCGGCUUAUCAGCUUGUUGGUGGGGUAGUGGCUUACCAAGGCUUUGACGGGUAGCCGGCCUGAGAGGGUGACCGGCCACAUUGGGACUGAGAUACGGCCCAGACUCCUACGGGAGGCAGCAGUGGGGAAUAUUGCACAAUGGGCGGAAGCCUGAUGCAGCAACGCCGCGUGCGGGAUGACGGCCUUCGGGUUGUAAACCGCUUUCGCCUGUGACGAAGCGUGAGUGACGGUAAUGGGUAAAGAAGCACCGGCUAACUACGUG
rnacentral:rRNA from 1 species